rnacentral:rRNA from 1 species
GACGAACCGUGCGAACGUUGUUCGGAAUCACUGGGCUUAAAGGGCGCGUAGGCGGGCGUGAAAGUCAGGGGUGAAAGCCCACGGCUCAACCGUGGAAGUGCCUUUGAUACUUCAUGUCUGGAGGGAGGUAGGGGCGUGCGGAACUUCCGGUGGAGCGGUGAAAUGCGUAGAUAUCGGGAGGAACACCAGUGGCGAAAGCGGCUCUCUGGUCCAAAACUGACGCUGAGGGGCGAAAGCGUGGGGAGGCGAACGGG